CGAGGAAUGGACUACUGAGCUGUUGAUACACAAGGGGAUUCACGGUACCCUUUCUCUUGGUUGUUAAUCUACCAUUUAAACUAUCAUGAAACAUGCAAAAGUGGGCCUAAAAGUACUGAAAGUCACCCGUGGAGAGCUUUGCCUCAGGAAGCUUCUUUUCCAAUUUAUAAGUUUAUCAACUGAGAUUUCAAGAAAAAAAUAUU
rnacentral:lncRNA from 1 species